CCUAUUCUUCCAGGGAAUGUCAUCUCAUGCUUGGGGUAAGCAUCUCUCCUAACUCACAGACAGGUUUGAGACAUGGAAGCAUCUUGCCCUCCUGGGUAAUAACUUCUCUUGCCUUAUAACUCUGAAGAUCUCAGUCAGCUUCCAUAUGAGCAGUGGAUUCCCUACCUUGUAAAUCUCUUCUGGGAUAGAAUCAGCACCAGGACUCAUGGAUUUUCGGAGGUUUAUGCACUAUCUAGAAACUGCCAGGAUCUUGAAGAGUCUGACGGAGUGUAGCUAAAUGGCAGAUGUGGUAUUAUUAAUUUUUAUUGUUAUUAUGCAUUUAUCCUAUACCAAAUAUAAAAGACUACACAGUUAA